rnacentral:tRNA from 1 species
AGGGACAUAGCUCAGGAGUCAGAGCGCACGGUUCGGGACCGUGAGGCCGCCGGUGCGAUUCCGGCUGUCCCUACCA